UACAGAGGGGGCAAGCGUUGUUCGGAAUUACUGGGCGUAAAGGGCGCGUAGGCGGCCUUCUAAGUCGAACGUGAAAUCCCUGGGCUCAACCCAGGAACUGCGUCCGAUACUGGAAGGCUUGAAUCCGGGAGAGGGAUGCGGAAUUCCAGGUGUAGCGGUGAAAUGCGUAGAUAUCUGGAGGAACACCGGUGGCGAAGGCGGCAUCCUGGACCAAUACUGACACUGAGGAGCGAAAGCCAGGGGAGCAAACGGG
rnacentral:rRNA from 1 species